AUGAGAAGCCAAGUGCCACUUGAUAUAGUAGAUCAAACAACCUACGAGGCUAAAAACUUUCUACUUCUUAAUCAAGGAGAAGCCGUCGCCCCCAUCUCCCGUUCCGCCGCCGCCGCCCCCCACCUUGCCCUAUCUCCCUCUCAGCCACCUCCACCACCCCCACGCUUCUCCUCACCACAACAGAUCCCUUCGCCGUCGCCCUCGCACUCGCACCAAGCCGCCGCCGAUCCCUGCGUCCCAGUGGAUCCGUUCGCCGCUGCCGAUCCUUCGCUGCCGCCGAUCUCGUCGCUACAUCGACGGCAACCAGGGGUCGUCCUCCGCCCGGCCGCAGUGGAGAUCAAGCAGGAGUCCUCCAAGGACGACUCCCGCGGGAUCAUCCUGAUCCUGUUCGAGAAGUUCGGCUUCUCCCACCGCGGGUCCGUCUCCAUCGCGCUCACCGGCGCCAGGGCUGCCUCCAAGCUCGCCAAGCCGGACUCUUCGCAGCUCGGCUUCUUCCUUUGGACAACUCCUGGGAAACAAGGCGAACGAUAUAUCUUCAUGCUUUACCUUGUUUACCACUGCCCUGAUGUGGAGAACGGUCGUCGGCUGGGAGCCUCGCCGUCUACCUCCACCAGCCGGCCCACACACCAUUGCUCCCCGCGUGUCGCGCCCCUCCCCGAACCAUCAUGCCUUCUAAUUAGUGUACGUGGUAGUCUGGAACAAUGUUCCUGGCACUUCGACCACACAACUUUAUGCUUGACGCACUAUAAGAAGACUGCCAUUUUGCCUUUUGACCUUGGUUUCUUCCUCCAUGGUAAUGUGUGCAAGUAUGAUUUUGUGAUAAUGCCAGAUGUUGUGUGCCUUCUUUAUUCAUGGUACGAGUACUCUAACCUGGCUCGUAGGCAUGGUUGUGUGGCCACGGGGAAAAUGGAGCAAGUAGCAUGUGAGGAGUUUAACAAAUGGGGACAAGGGACAGUUUAG
rnacentral:rRNA from 1 species